CGAGGAGAGGCUCGAUGGAUGGAGCCCGGGGCCGCCUUGCCCCAGGGCCGGGCCGCCCUGGGAGCGGGCCAGCCCCGGGGGACCCGGCGCCUCGCGGGGCGCACAGGGCCUGGCGGGACCGCGCUCCCGGGGGCGGGCGGGAGGCAGGAGGGAGCUGGCGCGCGGCCGGGGAGGGGACCCGCCGGGGAAGCCGUGGGGCGGGAUGUCAGCAGCUGCAAAACGAGCCCGCCUCCCUUCCCGGUAUCCUCGCGGCCACCCCGCGGAAGGUGGCGCCGCGCCAGGCGGGCACCAGAACCGGCGCAGCCACGCCCUGCCGAGGGUGCAGGGCCUCUCUCCGUAAGUGACUACUAUCUUCAGCCUCAUUCAGGAGAAUGUCGAGACUCAGGGAGGUGAAUUGGCCCAGAG
rnacentral:lncRNA from 1 species